rnacentral:tRNA from 1 species
GCCUCAGUAUCCCAACCGGUAGAGGAGACAGACUCAAAAUCUGUACAGUGUGGGUUCGAAUCCCUCCUGAGGCA